rnacentral:rRNA from 1 species
UACGUAGGGGGCUAGCGUUGUCCGGAUUUAUUGGGCGUAAAGAGCGUGUAGGCGGCCAGGUAGGUCUGCUGUGAAAACUCGAGGCUCAACCUCGAGACGUCGGCGGAAACCAUCUGGCUAGAGUCCGGAAGAGGAGAGUGGAAUUCCUGGUGUAGCGGUGAAAUGCGCAGAUAUCAGGAAGAACACCUGUGGCGAAGGCGGCUCUCUGGGACGGUACUGACGCUGAGACGCGAAAGCGUGGGGAGCGAACAGG